CUCUGGCAAUGAAAAUAAUACUCCCGAGGGGGAGGAUGCUAAUUUUAAGGAGCAAAUGUUAGUAAACUGACAGAGUCAGUCAUUCCCCUGACUACGUGGAGAUCAGUGAGGAAUAUAGGACUCGUUGCUCCUGGUCUGUAAAUGUGGAACAAAAGCCAUUCUUAAGAGUGGGAUCUUAGUCUUCUUGGGGUGAGAGGCAAAUGCUUGGCUAUAAUGAGCAAAAGAGCUGGGGUCAUUAUUUUGAUAGUGUGUUUGCUGCCUACUUUUAGUCAUGCACCUGAGACAUUCUUUCUUAUUAGCAAGCUUGGAGCAGCAGUGGAGUGUUGAAAUAAUUUCUCUCAAACCUGGGCUCUACGACGGUCCUCCUGCACACAGAUGAAUGCCCCUGUGAACAAAUUGCCUCCCCAGCCUGUUUAGAGUCACCUAUGCUGCUGGCAAAUGGUUUUUCAGAGCAAGUAGAGACAGGGUUUCACCGUGUUAGCCAGGAUGGUCUCGAUCUCCUGACCUCAUGAUCUGCCCGCCUCAGUCUCCCAAAGUGCUGGGAUUACAGAGGACCUUUGGAGAUGUGAAUGAAAACAGCUGUCUGAACAAGUUGUACCCUAACUAGCGCGGCUGCGAGUCUGAAACUUGAAACGGGGAAGUUGGUCAGCAUGGGUGAAGCUAUGCAGCCCAGGUGAAGGGAUCCUCAAGCAGCAGCCUCUGCCUUUUUGUCCUCUCCUUUUCAUGGAGAUGACAAGAAUCACCCCGGGACUUAUCUUCUGAGGUGCUCAGCUGUGCUCCCAGAGCUGCUUUGGUCACUGCUAUGGCGGGUGGAAGCAGGAUGGGUGAAGUCAUUCUGGAGAACAAUGUAAAUUAUAGCCAAAUUAUAUAUUUGCACAUGCUAUGACCCAGGAUCCCAAUAUAUGCCAGAGAAACUCUUGCACAGAUUCAUGUGGAAAUAAACAUAGUA